AUGAAACAGCUCUUCAACUCAGGUCAUCUUCUGGUGCCCAGUGAAGAUACUUGACUGGCACAAGUCUGAGAGCUUUCUUAGCUGACUGUAAGUCCAGCUUCCUAGUCCGUGUUCAAUUCCUCCAUCCCGUUAGGCUAUUUCCAAUCAAAAUAGCACAAGAUAUUUGCAAGUGCAAGCUCCACCACUCUCAUUCCCACAUGCGUCGCAGGACAACUUCAACCAGACCCAAAUGGCAAAUACUCGAAAUUCCGGGCUUUAAAGUCAAUGGGGCUGCGAACAAAUCUUUCAGGAAAGAACUCUUCAGAAUCCUUACAGUUGUUAGAAUCUCUUGCAAUUGCUCAAACAUUAAUAUGGAUUAGCGUUUUGGGAUUAUAUGCUAUGGCCAUUGAUUUUAAGGUGAGACAUGUUUUCACUUGGAAGCAGCAGUGGAGCAGGAUGAUGCAAUCUCAGAUUUUCUUUUAUUACCAACUUGAGGUAUUGAAGCUGAGCAAUGUAGUCUUCAGUUACUUUUCCUUUCUUUUCUUCAGAAUUUCUAACUUCAUCCUUUGCUUUCUAAUUCUUGGAUUCGUAGCUAAUUCUGCCAUUGCCCAGACAACAGACACGGCAGCUGUGUAUAUUCUGCCUAAAAU
rnacentral:misc_RNA from 1 species